UACGAAGGGGGCUAGCGUUGUUCGGAAUCACUGGGCGUAAAGCGCACGUAGGCGGAUCUUUAAGUCAGGGGUGAAAUCCCGGGGCUCAACCUCGGAACUGCCUUUGAUACUGGGGAUCUCGAGUCCGGGAGAGGUGAGUGGAACUGCGAGUGUAGAGGUGAAAUUCGUAGAUAUUCGCAAGAACACCAGUGGCGAAGGCGGCUCACUGGCCCGGAACUGACGCUGAGGUGCGAAAGCGUGGGGAGCAAACAGGG
rnacentral:rRNA from 1 species